rnacentral:rRNA from 1 species
CCUGGCUCAUGACGAACGCUGGCGGCGCGCCUAACACAUGCAAGUCGAACGAGCGAGAGAGAGCUUGCUUUCUCAAGCGAGUGGCGAACGGGUGAGUAACGCGUGAGGAACCUGCCUCAAAGAGGGGGACAACAGUUGGAAACGACUGCUAAUACCGCAUAAGCCCACGGUGCCGCAUGGCACAGAGGGAAAAGGAGCAAUCCGCUUUGAGAUGGCCUCGCGUCCGAUUAGCUAGUUGGUGAGGUAAUGGCCCACCAAGGCGACGAUCGGUAGCCGGACUGAGAGGUUGAACGGCCACAUUGGGACUGAGACACGGCCCAGACUCCUACGGGAGGCAGCAGUGGGGAAUAUUGCACAAUGGGGAAACCCUGAUGCAGCGACGCCGCGUGGAGGAAGAAGGUCUUCGGAUUGUAAACUCCUGUUGUUGAGGAAGAUAAUGACGGUACUCAACAAGGAAGUGACGGCUAACUACGUGCCAGCAGCCGCGGUAAAACGUAGGUCACAAGCGUUGUCCGGAAUUACUGGGUGUAAAGGGAGCGCAGCGGGAAGACAAGUUGGAAGUGAAAUCUAUGGGCUCAACCCAUAAACUGCUUUCAAAACUGUUUUUCUUGAGUAGUGCAGAGGUAGGCGGAAUUCCCGGUGUAGCGGUGGAAUGCGUAGAUAUCGGGAGGAACACCAGUGGCGAAGGCGGCCUACUGGGCACCAACUGACGCUGAGGCUCGAAAGUGUGGGUAGCAAACAGGAUUAGAUACCCUGGUAGUCCACACCGUAAACGAUGAUUACUAGGUGUUGGAGGAUUGACCCCUUCAGUGCCGCAGUUAACACAAUAAGUAAUCCACCUGGGGAGUACGACCGCAAGGUUGAAACUCAAAGGAAUUGACGGGGGCCCGCACAAGCAGUGGAGUAUGUGGUUUAAUUCGACGCAACGCGAAGAACCUUACCAAGUCUUGACAUCCUGCGACGGACAUAGAAAUAUGUCUUUCCUUCGGGACGCAGAGACAGGUGGUGCAUGGUUGUCGUCAGCUCGUGUCGUGAGAUGUUGGGUUAAGUCCCGCAACGAGCGCAACCCUUAUGGUCAGUUACUACGCAAGAGGACUCUGGCCAGACUGCCGUUGACAAAACGGAGGAAGGUGGGGAUGACGUCAAAUCAUCAUGCCCUUUAUGACUUGGGCUACACACGUACUACAAUGGCGUUAAACAAAGAGAAGCAAGACCGCGAGGUGGAGCAAAACUCAGAAACAACGUCCCAGUUCGGACUGCAGGCUGCAACUCGCCUGCACGAAGUCGGAAUUGCUAGUAAUCGCAGAUCAGCAUGCUGCGGUGAAUACGUUCCCGGGCCUUGCACACAC